CAAUAUUGGUGUUGUCUAAAAAAAUUUUAUGGCACGGUCUUGCUGUUUUGGAAGGUGUUGCUAUUGACUUUAACCCAAAUUACAAGGUUUUAGGUAGCACAUACCCAUGGAUUGCUAGGAAAAUACUGACCAACAACUCACCACAGCUCAAGUCUUUCCUGCAGGCCUUUUUUAUGAGAAUGGUGUUGGGUGGACAAAACUCAGAAGUGCAGCAUCUCUCAAAUAGUUAGACUUCUAAUGUU